UCCGUGUUAACCACGGCAGUCUCUCUAGAGUGCCCAACUGAAUGCUGGCAACUAAAGACAAGGGUUGCGCUCGUUGCGGGACUUAACCCAACAUGUCACCACACGAGCUGACGACAGCCAUGCAGCACCUGUCUCUCGGUCGUAUUGCUACGAAAACCGUAUUUCUACGGCUGUCCAAGGAUGUCAAAUCCAGGUAAGGUUCUUCGCGUUGCUUCGAAUUAAACCACAUGAUCCACCGCUUGUGCGGGCCCCCGUCAAUUCCUUUGAGUUUUAGUCUUGCGACCGUACUUCCCAGGCGGGGUACUUAUUGCGUUAGCUCCGGCUCUGCGGGGGUCAAGACCCACAAAACCUAGUACCCAUCGUUUACAGCGUGGACUAC
rnacentral:misc_RNA from 1 species